GCACAAGCGGGGAGCAAGUGGUUUUAAUUGGUGCAACGCGAAGGAAUUACCUGGUUUGACAUGUGAGAACUUUCCAGAAGAUGAUUUGUGCCUUCGGGAACUCGAACACAGGUGCUGCAUGGCUGUCGUCAGCUCGGUUCGAGGAUUGGGUUAAGUCCCGCAACGAGCGCAAACCUUUCCCUAGUUUCAGCACGUAAUGGGGGAACUUAAGGGAGCGCCGGUGACAAACCGGAGGAAGGUGGGGAUGACGUCAAGUCAUCAUGGCCUUGACCAGGGUACCCAUAUACAAAGGUAGGGACAGAGGGUGCAAAACCGCGAGGGCAAACAAUUCCAGAAACCUUUUCAUCC
rnacentral:rRNA from 1 species